GGGGAAUUUUCCGCAAUGGGCGAAAGCCUGACGGAGCAAUACCGCGUGGGGGAGGAAGGUUCUUGGAUUGUAAACCCCUUUUCUCAGGGAAGAAGAAGUGACGGUACCUGAGGAAUCAGCAUCGGCUAACUCCGUGCCAGCAGCCGCGGUAAUACGGAGGAUGCAAGCGUUAUCCGGAAUGAUUGGGCGUAAAGCGUCCGCAGGUGGCAGUUCAAGUCUGNNNNCAAAGACUGGGGCUCAACCCUGGAAAGGCAGUNNAAACUGGACAGCUAGAGGAUGGUGGGGGUAGAGGGAAUUCCCAGUGUAGCGGUGAAAUGCGUAGAGAUUGGGAAGAACACCGGUGGCGAAAGCGCUCUGCUAGACCAUAACUGACACUCAGGGACGAAAGCUAGGGGAGCGAAUGGGAUUAGAUACCCCAGUAGU
rnacentral:rRNA from 1 species